rnacentral:rRNA from 1 species
UAAGUCAGAGGUGAAAGGUUGCAGCUCAACUGUAGAAUUGCCUUUGAUACUGGAGCUCUUGAGUUAUGUUGCUGUGGCCGGAACAUGUGGUGUAGCGGUGAAAUGCAUAGAUAUCACAUAGAACACCGAUUGCGAAGGCAGGUCACAAAGCAUACACUGACACUGAGGGACGAAAGCGUGGGGAGCGAACGGGAUUAGAUACCCCGGUAGUCCACGCCGUAAACGAUGGAUACUAGCUGUUGGGUUUUCGGACUCGGCGGCCAAGCGAAAGUGAUAAGUAUCCCACCUGGGGAGUACGUUCGCAAGAAUGAAACUCAAAGGAAUUGACGGGGGCCCGCACAAGCGGUGGAGUAUGUGGUUUAAUUCGAUGAUACGCGAGGAACCUUACCAGGGCUUAAAUGGGAGAUGACCGGGUCAGAGACGACCCUUUCUUCGGACAUCUUUCAAGGUGCUGCAUGGUUGUCGUCAGCUCGUGCCGUGAGGUGUCAGGUUAAGUCCUAUAACGAGCGCAACCCCUGCCGUUAGUUGCCAGCGAGUCAAGUCGGGGACUCUAACGGGACUGCCGGUGCAAACCGUGAGGAAGGUGGGGACGACGUCAAAUCAUCACGGCCCUUACGUCCUGGGCUACACACGUGCUACAAUGGUCGGUACAAUGGGAAGCCACCCCGUGAGGGGGCGCGGAUCUUGAAAGCCGAUCACAGUUCGGAUCGGGGUCUGCAACUCG